rnacentral:rRNA from 1 species
UACAGAGGGUGCAAGCGUUAAUCGGAAUUACUGGGCGUAAAGCGUGCGUAGGCGGAUAUUUAAGUCAGAUGUGAAAGCCCCGGGCUCAACCUGGGAAUUGCAUCUGAUACUGGGUAUCUGGAGUAUGGUAGAGGAUAGUGUAAUUCCAGGUGUAGCGGUGAAAUGCGUAGAUAUCUGGAGGAACAUCAGUGGCGAAGGCGACUGUCUGGACCAAAACUGACGCUGAGGUGCGAAAGCGUGGGGAGCAAACAGG